UACGUAGGGCGCAAGCGUUGUCCGGAAUUAUUGGGCGUAAAGGGCUCGUAGGCGGUUUGUCGCGUCUGCUGUGAAAACCUAAGGCUCAACCUUGGGCUUGCAGUGGGUACGGGCAGACUAGAGUGCGGUAGGGGUGACUGGAAUUCCUGGUGUAGCGGUGGAAUGCGCAGAUAUCAGGAGGAACACCGAUGGCGAAAGGCAGGUCAC
rnacentral:rRNA from 1 species